rnacentral:ncRNA from 1 species
CGAAAGGCGAAUCAAGGUUAUAUUUGGCGAUACGUCGAAUGUAAAUGAUAAAUUCAAAUGAGCUCACCGACUGAAAUUUCGUGUGUAGAGGUAAAAUCCAGAGAUUUAUGAAAAGAACGCUAAAAGCAAAUGCAGCUCUCUGGGUCCCUACUGACGCUGAGUUGCGAAAACAUGGGGAGCGAACAUGAGUAGAUACCGCGAUAGUUCAUAUCGUAAAUGAUAAGUGUUCGCCACUGAUUUACGCGGACAAAGGGCCAACUAAUAUCUGAAACACCCCG